rnacentral:rRNA from 1 species
GUCACGCUGUAAACGAUGUCGAUUUGGAGGUUGUUCCGUUGGGAGUGGCUUCCGGAGCUAACGCGUUAAAUCGACCGCUGGGGAGUACGGCCGCAAGGUUAAAACUCAAAUGAAUUGACGGGGGCCCGCACAGCGGUGGAGCAUGUGGUUUAAUUCGAUGCAACGCGAAGAACCUUACCUACUCUUGACAUCCAGAGAAUUUAGCAGAGAUGCUUUAGUGCCUUCGGGAACUCUGAGACAGGUGCUGCAUGGCUGUCGUCAGCUCGUGUUGUGAAAUGUUGGGUUAAGUCCCGCAACGAGCGCAACCCUUAUCCUUUGUUGCCAGCACGUUAUGGUGGGAACUCAAAGGAGACUGCCGGUGAUAAACCGGAGGAAGGUGGGGAUGACGUCAAGUCAUCAUGGCCCUUACGAGUAGGGCUACACACGUGCUACAAUGGCGUAUACAAAGAGAAGCGACCUCGCGAGAGCAAGCGGAACUCAUAAAGUACGUCGUAGUCCGGAUUGGAGUCUGCAACUCGACUCCAUGAAGUCGGAAUCGCUAGUAAUCGUAGAUCAGAAUGCUACGGUGAAUACGUUCCCGGGCCUUGUACACACCGCCCGUCACACCAUGGGAGUGGGUUGCAAAAGAAGUAGGUAGCUUAACCUUCGGGAGGGCGCUUACCACUUUGUGAUUCAUGACUGGGGUGAAGUCGUAACAAGGUAACCA